GUUCGGUCCCUAUCUGCCGUGGGCGCUGGAGAACUGAGGGGGGCUGCUCCUAGUACGAGAGGACCGGAGUGGACGCAUCACUGGUGUUCGGGUUGUCAUGCCAAUGGCACUGCCCGGUAGCUAAAUGCGGAAGAGAUAAGUGCUGAAAGCAUCUAAGCACGAAACUUGCCCCGAGAUGAGUUCUCCCUGACUCCUUGAGAGUCCUGAAGGAACGUUGAAGACGACGACGUUGAUAGGCCGGGUGUGUAAGCGCAGCGAUGCGUUGAGCUAACCGGUACUAAUGAACCGUGAGGCUUAACCUU
rnacentral:rRNA from 1 species